AACAAUUUCAGACAAUGCAACAUGCGUUGGGUUGCUUGGAGUACACGGUGGUAUACCGAAAUUUGGAAGGAGACAAGUAACUCAUGUUAGACAAGCUUUGUAGAAAAACACGCAUUUUUGGCUGAAACCAAAUUAGUUCCUUUUCGCUUGAUUCGGAAGAUGAAUAAAAAUUUGGCUGGGGUUUUGAUCCCGUAUGCCUAUUAACAAAUUUAAUUUCAUCAUUUGUUGGUGGAGUCAGUACUUUUGAUAAUUUUCUACGCUUAGAGAAAUGUUCAUUUUUUUUUUUCUUUGAGAAAAAACGAAAAUCAAUUUCAAGGAUUUCAUCUGACUGAUUUAAUUCAUGGACAUUAAAACUGAAACAGUCGGAAUCCCGUAUAGAGCCGGUAGAUAAAUCAGAAAGUCUAGAUUCCGAUGCCAAAGUAGAAGCGAAAAGAAUUGAACUUGAAGAGGACGAUUCACUAGAAAAUGUAAAUCUGCUAGGUAGGUCGGAAAGUGAUAAGACGGACAUUGAAUAUAAAUAAAAAAGUGUGAAGCCAGAAGGCUACGUAUAUAUACCCAUUAUUGUAUUCACAAAUUUGGAGGUUGAAUUUGGAUAUCUAUGCUUUGGUCCAUGAAAAUUUGGGACUCUAUGCUUUCAAACGUCAAAAUUUCCACCCAGCCAUCAUCCUUAAGUUUACGAUCGAAGUAGCUUAAAUUGUGUUUUAACGUACCACGUAAAUAAAUUUUUAAAAUCAAUUUAAUGAUGAAUGUUCUGCGAUAUUAUAUAGCAUUCAGGUAUUCACUAGGUUGCUCUUGUGGGCUCCAAAGGCCUGAGUGGGGGCCUAAGUAUUCAUUAGCUACUUGACUACAAGUGCAAUAAAUGUGGGUUAAAAGUCCUAUGUGGGGUACAAAAAACUGUAAAAGAGGUAGCAAUAAGAAG